UUACGGCCAUAUCACGUUGAAAAAGCGGUUCUCGUAUGAUCACGAAAGUUAAGCACUGUCGAGCCUGGUAAAUACCUAGAUUGGUGAUCACUUGGGAUUAGCAGGUACU